rnacentral:lncRNA from 1 species
GGAAUUCUGUUUCUUUGAACAGAUAUGAGCAUCACUAAAUUAGCGGAGAAACAAUUCUAUCACCAAAUCACGAAAUCAUCACAGAAUGAUGGUAAAAUACAAAUUACCGUGUUGUGAUCAAAGCCAAUUGGAACCAAAAUUGAAUUCGAAGGAACCAGAAAGAGAUUAGCGAGAAAUGGAUGAGGUCAAUGUAGGUGGUGUUUUGUGUAGGUUGGUGUGUUAUAGCAGAGAAUGAAUGAGGGUUUGAAAAGAAAGAAGAUGAAGGGAAAAACGGUGUCAUAGAAUGUGAGGGGUGAGUAGGUUGUAUAGAGGAGUGACUCUCACACUGUGGGGAGCUUUACAACGACGAUGGAGAUGACCAGAAAUAGGAGAUAUCAUUUAGUCACAAACUUAAACUUUUGGCCAAACACAAUUUUAUGCAACCCAUUUUAACAAUCACACAAUUCAUAUUUAUCUGUUACACAUUUUUAAGGAAUCUGCUACACAAUUCAAUAUGAUGGAAACACUCUUAUAUUUGAGAAAGCAAAAAAGAAUGAAAAUCCAAAUUGGUUCUCCAAUUCACAACAAUAUUGGAGUAAGGCAGCCUCUAACUCUGUUCAUAAUUAAUAUGAUUGAUUUUUCUUUAUAGAAAAAAAUCCAGAAGUGGUAUAUGUCUCAUUUAGUUACAUUAUUGUUUAAAUUCUAACCAUAUUAAGAACAACUCCCUGACCAGGUUCAAUAACCAAACCAUAAGCCGGUGAAUGGCACCACGACGCUGUAUUUGCAGUAGUUUCAUGUCCAACAAAGAAUAGAGUUCUGCAGUUAUCUACAAUGAACCUGUCUUGUAAGAUUGAAUUCUUUCCACUAUCAAGUAUCAUUUGCAAGAGCUCAUAACCUUCCUCUUGACGUUGGCAAGAAUCUAAAACAGUAUAAUACCAUUUUCCACAUUAGUAUCAUCCCUAACAAGACCAACAAAAUAAUAAGAUAUGAAUAUCGUAGAUUAGCGACACUGAUUCAAAAGAAAAAAUGGAAAAAGAGUACUCCAUAUCUCUAAAGAUUAAUUAAUGAGCACAAAAGUGUUUCAAUGAUCACACAUAGCUGAAUAGGCGAUAGCUGGAUAGGUGAAUAGGCGAUAGGCGAAUAGGGCGACAGGCGACAGGCGACAGGCGACAGGCGACAGGCGACAGGCGACAGGCGACAGGCGACAGGCGACAGGCGACAGGCGACAGGCGACAGGCGCGAUAGCCACUACCAACUAUCAGCUAUGAGGCAGCAAUAGCCGCUACCAACUAUCAGCUAUGAGGCAGCGAUAGCCGCUACCAACUAUCACCUAUGAGGCGGCGAUAGCCGCUACCAGCUAUCAGCUAUGAGGCGGCGAUAGCCGCUACCAGCUAUGAGCUAUGAGGCGAUAGCUGCUACCAGCUAUGAUAGCCAAUAGCUUAUGGCCGAUAUAGCUGAUAGACAAUAUCACCUAUCAGAUAUCAGAUUUUCAGUUAUAAGCUUAUAACUUAAUUUUACAAAAUAGAGCCAAAGUGUCCAUGUGAUUUCAAAAGAUUGGCUAAACUUUAAAAAUAUUAUUAUUUACAUUUUAUUUAAUUUCAAAUCUUAUAAUUUACAUUUUAUUUAAUUUCAAAUCUGUAUGCGGCGAGUAACGAGCCAGAGCAGGUAUGAUUUCCUUUAAUAGAGCGAGGUUACUCUGAAGGAGGUUCAGCCUUGACUCACCCGCGAUCUGUCGUGCGCCGGCGGUAACAAUACAAAGAUCGGACCCGGCGGUAACGGAGUAUUCAUCGGAUGAGUUGAUCUUAACGCGGGGGAGAAAGCAGCGGCGCGCUGAAGGUCGACCAUCUCGCCGCGGAGUUUGUCGGGUUUGUUGUCGACGAUGACGAGCUCGCCGGUGAGGUCCUGAGUGAGGAUGGUCUGAGCGAUGGCAAUUCCUACAUUUCCGGCGCCGAUGACGGAGAUCUUGGUUUGACGCUUGGAGAGAGAUGGAGGGGAUGAUUUGGAAAAGAAAAGGACCGAAUAACACUGUAACCGCCUGGUUGGUUUGUGUGCUUUCCGCCUUUAAAUCUACCAAUUUAGCAGUUGUGAAUUAGUUGUACCGUUCAAUUAAAAUGAUUCUUUAAAUAAUAACAUUUCAGUCUUCAAUUUUGAUGAAUGAUCAAUAUCACGUCACUGUUUUGUUUGAAAGCAUACAAUUUCAGAUCCUAGUUCGGAAUUUGGAUAGUUUCGUUUAUAUUUUAUUUUAUGCUAUUUUUCUUUUUUUAGACAUAACUUGCUUUUAUAUUAUUUGAUUUGAUUAACAACACAAAUAUCCUUUUAUUUUUGCUUUUUUUUCCUUCUAAUAUUCUGCAAAUUUUAAAUUAUAUAUUAAAUUAAAUAACAAUACAUCUAAUUGUUUUUUUAAUUAUUAUCUAUUUUUAACAUAGUAAAAAUAUAAAUAAAAUGAGUUUAUUUAAGUUAUAUGAGUUUACAUAAAUAUAUUUAAAUUAGACUUACAUGUAACAUAUAUCACUCAAUUUAUUAAAAAAUAAAACAUAUGUAAGUUCAGUUAUAUAUUGUUAAAUUGACAUAAAAUUAAUUAAUUAAUUUUUAACUCACUUAUUCAAUUUACUUCCAGUGAAAAAUUGUUUGAUAAAGUUAUAACAUGAACCACAUAUCUUUAAGAUUUAGAUGAGAGAAUGAAGAUGAGUAUGAAUUACCAUAAUUUUCCUAUAACAUUUUAGGAUUAUGAUUUCGUAGUUGAGGAACUCUCUGAUGAGAUAAUGAUUAAAUAGAUAAACCAUAUAAGAUUGAAAAGAGUUGUAGAGAUGAGAAGAAUUUAUAUAAUAAAUAAGAGGAAAUAUGAAAUUGAAUCAUUUAAUUUAAGUAUUAGAAAUUCCAAAGUUGAAACCAAUUCAUCAUUGAAAAAAAACGGAGUCCCAAGUUGUUGCCUUCAACCUCACGCACAUGGCUUUUUUCUAUGGAAAACGAACAUAAUAAAAAGGUGAAGAGGUGCAAAACAUGCUUUUUACAAUUGGGUCGAAACGACUUAAAUGGGUCAAAGCUUCGCGACAUGGCGCGCUGCUCCCAUGAUGUCACGCUUUUUCUCUACGAGCUCAAAGAUAUGGGUUCUCCAACAAUUUUGUCUUCGCUCUAACAAUGUUCUCACUCAAAAACAUGUAAGAUCUUACAAACUUACGCUUUAGAGCUCACUACUAACAACCUUGCACAUACCUAUAGUCCGAAUUCCUGACAUAUAUCUUGGAGAGGAGUUUUUUAAGAUCUGUAAGCUUUGUGAAUAUUUCUUUUCCUUCGACAUAAUUGCUCCCAAAACAAGCUCUAGAAAUUAUAUCAGCUGACAAGCUUCGCAAAUCUUCAUCAAUUUUAAUUUCUGAAACUGCUCCAUCUCUUUCUGUUUAGUCUCCCAUGUUCUUAACAUUUUAUUUGUGGAGUCAACUUUCCGAUCAACCAUUGCCUUCAACAUGACUCACAUAAAAUGAAAAGAUUAAAAUGUUAUUUUAAUCAAUAUAUAUGUCUUAUAACAAUUCUAGAUAUAAAUAUAAAUCGUAGAUGAGAUAAAAAUAAAAAUAAAAUUAUAUUGAAUAAUAACAAAAUUGUUGUUACAUAAAAUAAUACAAAAAAAUUUAUAUAGCAACCUAAUUAAUAUUAUAUCUAAUACGCUUAUAUUUGCUCCUUCUAAAUACUCAAACAUACUUUUAUUUCGAUAAAACACGUACACAGAACCUAAUCGUUAGAGUAUUGAAAUUUAUUUAAAGGAUUGAAUCUUCUAACAUAUAUUUUUAAAUAUACCUCUAUUAAGGACUGAACUCCUGACCAAAUAAUUAAAUAACCAAACUUUCUACAACUUGUACCACACACCAACAUACCAGUUUCGGCACAAUUAUUUUCCUUAUUUUUCUCUGAUGAGCCCAAAUCAACUCAUUUGUUGAGGGUCAAAAGCCCUCACGAAGGGGGGGAAACAGCCACAAAGUAGACAUUUGUGGCGGCCUUAGGCAGCCACAAAUAAGGUGGUCACAAACCUUUGUGGCGGCCUUAUAAGAGUAUCCUAUAUUCUUUGGAAAGGAAUGAAUGUUUUCUUUGAUUCAAAGAGGUGUUUAAGACGAUUUCCUACACCAUUUUCAUAUUUGUCACCAUUAACCAUUGUGUACUCCCAGAUGAAUACAAGUAUAUUGAACCUGCAAUAUUUAUAUCUUAACACACCAUUUCAUUGGAUAUACAUUUAUGAAAAAUAAUAAAAAUAGUUUUUAAAUAUUUUUAUUACUUUUAGAAAUUUAGGUCAAACAAUACCUUUAAAAACAUCUUAACCUAAUAUUUCACAUCUUAUCUUAUAUAUAUAAAAGAUAAUUUGAUAUGACAUCUUAACCUAAUAUUUCACAUCUUAUCUUAUAUAUAUCUCAUAUAUAAAAGAUAAUUUGAUAUGACAUCUUAACCUAAUAUUUCACAUCUUAUCUUAUAUAUAUCUCAUAUAUAAAAGAUAAUUUGAUAUGACAUCUUAACCUAAUAUUUCACAUCUUANNNNNNNNNNNNNNNNNNNNNNNNNNNNNNNNNNNNNNNNNNNNNNNNGUUUCAAAUCGGGUGCUGGAAAAUGUUUGAAUUUAGCUUCAAGCUCAACCAUAACUAACUAUAAAUAUUUAACACAAAUUAAAACUCAAUCAUGCAAAAAACAAACAAUUAUGUAUUGUAUUAACACCUACCAGAUGUGUGAAUCCGAUAGUGUUAUAUUUUUUUAAAACACUAUCGAAUGUGUGAAUCCAGUAGUGUUAAUUUUUUAAAAAACAACUACCAGAUCCUAGAAUCUGAAACAAUCCAGUACAUAACUUCAAAAAAUUUAACAACCAAAAUGACAAUGAGAAAGCUUUUAGAGCUACAUUACCUUUGCAAUGAACAAGAAUACAAUUGAUGAUGCCAAUGGAUAGAAGAAUGAGAAUUUUGAACUCUAAAAACGUGAAAAUGUGUGAAGAAUUUAAGGUUGAGUAUUGAAGAAGAAGUGUUUGGCGAAAAGGCUGACUUGCUUUUGUAUUUGUGGCUUGCUUUUGUAUUUGUGGCUUCCGAAUGCUGGAACCCGGUAACUUAAAUUACUGAAUUCAUGCACCCGAGAAUUUACCGAUUCGAAAGUUGAGAUUCAAUAAAAUAUAAAUACAAAAAUUUGAGGAGCCUCUAAGCAACGAUGGAAGAUAAGCAAAUAGGAUGUGGACCGAUGAGGCUCCCUUUUCUUAUUCCUUUUGUUGUAUAAGGAUUUGGGUCUGAUUGGUCUUUUGACUUGUUUCAAUAAAAAGAGGUAUAUCUAUUAUAAUAUAUUAAAAUAUACUCUUAUAUUCUAACAAGCACUCUUUCACCCUUCUUAUUAUUUUACACAUUACUUUAACACAUUUUUUUUUGUUUUAACACAUAUUUUACUAUUAUUAUUUUUGCAUAUAAUAUUUUGUGGAACUAUUCAUGUUUCAUGAGUUACAAAUUACAAUACAAUAAAUAUUAGUUAUUCGACACUCAUUGUUCCUCCAUCAUUAUUGGUAACGGUUCCUCCUAUAGUUUUAAAUCUCAAUUAAUAUAUUGUGUCCUUUUAAAGUUUUCUCAAACUACAAUUAAGGGAAGUUAUUUUAUAUCGCAUGUUAUUUUUAUCUGGAAAUAGGAAGACAACAACAUAUAUGAUUAGGUCCCUAUGCAACUCUUCGUAUGCUCAUUACAUACUUUCACACUUUUUUCCUUUUAGAUAAGCAAAAAGUGUGAUAACUCAUAUAUUUUUUUAGUUUACGUCUUUGAGUUUUAAUUUUAUUUUAUAUAUAUUUUGAUAUAUUUGUGAUCAAUUGUUGUUGUUGACAUUUGGUCUAAAUACAUCACUUUUUCUUUCAAAAUGUGCUUAUUUUUCAUUACAUAGUAUAUUAUGUGUUAUCCAGUGUAUUUUUCGGAUAUACAUUGAAAUUUGAAACAAGUUUCUAACACUAAUACACAUCUCUUAAAUUUCAAUGAUAAUAUGAAUAAGUUAUACUAUAUUAUAUGAUGACAACUACAAUAUCUUUUUCACCUCAUCUUUAGACAUAUCGAGUCAAAUAGUUUAACAAUUAACUCUCUAAGAUUUUUUUAGAUGAAAAAUAAGAAAUAAUUCAUGUCUAUGAGAACCUAUCUCACAUUUUUAGUUUCUACAAUCAUUUAAUUUCCUCAAAUUGAGUAUUACACAAUAUCAUCAGGAAAUAAAUAAAUAAAUAAAAUCUUUUAAUAAAAAAUAGCUAUUUUUAGUGAGAUCUAUAAAAUAAAUAAAUAUAUCUCAUGUCACUUAUUAGAUAACUAAAAUUAAUAUUCAAACCAGAUAGAGAGAGAUAUCAUUUAUAAUUAGACCAAUAAUUCGUUAUUGAAUUAUAAAGUUCUUUAAAUUCAAUUUAUAUUAUUUCAACACGUCUUUUCUUUUUUAUUCUCAUUAUACUCUUGUUGAUAUGGACUUAUAAGAAAAUUUGUAUGUUAUCUGAAAUAUUGAAUGUUUUUUGUAUGAUUAUAUAUUAAAAUAUAUUUUUAAUUUAUUUUAAAUAGUAAAUUAUUUUUAAUUUUGGUACAAUAUAGUAAAUUGGUUAUCUCAAGUAAUAUUUUUUAAUUAUUGUUUGCAUUAUAUAAAAUAUGUUUCGACACAUUAAAAUUGUAAAUAGACAACAUUGACGCAUCAACCUACCGAUAUAUUUUUUCUAAAGACAAAAUCGUGAAAUUUUAUUUAAGUUAUUAUCAAAUUAUAUGUAUAAUAUUGUAAAAUAUUUAAAAAAAAAAUUAUAUUUAUUCGUACAACGUGUGGAUUUUGAUCUAAUUUAAAUAAAUAAAAACAUGCAUGGAAUAAGUCACGAGAUUGUAAUAGGUGACAUGAGUCAAUUUAAUUUUUGUUUUUUGAGCAGGACUCAAAUGAAAUAUAUACUAGCGGUCUUAAAACAUAAUUCAUUGUUUUUCCACCACGUGACUAUACUUUUCUAAUGACUCUUGAUUUUUCAAUACAGUUCAUGCAUUUUUUCCAAGCAAAUAUUUGCUCAUUUUUACAAGAAAUAUCUGUUUAUUACAUGUUUCAUUUGUUUGAGAAAAACACCUUAUAACUCUGAAGUAGAAAUAUAUUAUUAUUAUUAUUAUUAUUAUUAUUAUUAUUCUUUUAUUAAGUAGAAAUAUAUAUUGCUUUAAUUCACAAAAAUUUCAAUUUAUUUUUAAGCAAGAUCUCUAUGGUAUUUUUCUUAAGGAAAAAAAGGUAGUGACAACUUAUUUUCCCUGAAGUUAUAGAAAUUAAUAACACUUUAACGGGGCAUUCAUCGUACAUGGAAAAGUAUUGCUUCAUUGUCGAUCUUAUCUCUAUGUUGUGUAAAUAUUACUAGACAGCAUCCAACAAUGUCGUGUACCCUUCGUCUAAAAUAUUGUUGGUUUACCCUUCCCUUCUUUAUUAUAAGAUUCAUUUUUUAGACUCUUUUUUAUCGCUUAAUAUACAAUUAUUUUCAAAAUUCAUAUACAUUAAUAAUUUCUUCAUAAAAAUAACCCUAUUUAAUUUACAAUUGAGAAACAAUUUUGUUUUUGUCUUGUAAUAUCAUAUGUAAGGGUAAUUAUAUUUUAUUAUAAAUUUAUUGCUACAACUAAACUACUUUUCUUAAUACUGUAGUUAAUGUGAGUCUUGUAAUAAAAGAGUAUAUUGUAAAUGUAACAUAAUACAAAUAAUAAAAGAAAGUAUGUUAAGAUAAUUUUCUGGCGGACGGAUGCUGUUGUGGUCUAACUUUAUAAAUGAUCCAUCAUAGGUCGAUGAUGAAUUAUUUAAAAAUCAGAUCACCAUUUUAAUUGUAAAAGUGCGGAAAAUGGUUAAAUUAUACUUUCAGUAAGACUAAUGUAUAAUUAAUCGUCGUUAAAGUUUCUGAGUUAUUUUUGAACAGAAGUCCACCAUGAAAUCUCCAUGAUAAUAAACUGUAGCAUGAAAGUUCCAAUACGCGCCUAUAAAGUCACGUCAAACGGUUUUGUCGACUAUUAACGGGCCAAGAAGUCCCAAUAAUCAACAAGUUAAAAGGAAGUUACUUAUGGAAACUAAAUGUCAUCAUUUAUCAUAACAAGAAGCAAUCAUCUAACUAAUAAGUUUUAGUUAUUACACAAAUAUGUUUCUGUUCUUCAUUUCCAUUAUGCUAUAUUUUAGUUUUUUAAAUGUAAGUGUUGCCAUAGACACCAUAACAUCAACUAAUUUUAUCAAGGACUCUGAAACUCUAAGAUCCAAGAAUGGUAACUUCACCUUAGGCUUCUUCAGCCCUGAAAAUUCUACAAAUCGCUAUGUCGGAAUUUGGUGGCAGCCACAAUUCACAGUCUUAUGGGUUCUCAACAGAGAAACACCACUGAUUGAUUCUUCUGGUGUUGUUACAAUAUCUGAUGAUGGCAAUGAUCUUGUGAUACUGAAUGCAAAGAAGGAAGUGAUUUGGUCAUCAUCCAAUGCGCCGAGCAUCGCAACCAAGUCAAGUUUCAAACUUUUAGAUUCAGGGAACCUUGUACUACUUGAAGACACGACAGGUAGAACUAUAUGGGAGAGUUUUCAGCAUCCUUCAAAUACACAGUUACCAGACAUGAAACUUACUACCAACAAAAGAACAGGUUGGUAGCUUAAGUAUUUAAUUAAAAAAUUAUGGCAUGCUAUAAUCAGUUAUUAGGAAUUAAUAAUAAAAUAGUCAAUUAUUAUUAUGCACUAAUAUUUAGUUAUGAAUGAACCAUGAUAGGUCUUGUCAUUCUAUUAUUUGUUUAAUCGUUACUACAUUAGACGGUAACACUGAAAAGAUGGCAAUGAGGGGGUUCAUUUCUCAACUGUCUGUUCUCAUUGAAAUGUACGAAGUUCUAAUACAUUCUUAACUUAAAUAUGUUAUGAUUUGUAUCUAAUUACAGGUGAGAAAGUAAAACUUACAUCAUGGAAAAGCUCUUCUAAUCCAUCCAUUGGAAACUUCUCUUUAAGUGUUGAACGACUUAGUAUAACUGAGGUGUUCAUUUGGAACAAAACUCGACCAUAUUAGCGCACCAGUCCAUGGGAUGGUAAGAUUUUUUCAGGGCUUCCAUAUACGAAAACUCACGACCUCAAUGAUAUACAUGUUGGAGAUGACAGUUCCUUCUUUGAAACAACAAAGGAUACAAUUAGUCUCAUAAUCUAUAAUCUGACUUCAGAAGGAAACUGUGAAGAGAAAUGGUGGGAUGAAAAGAAGAAAGAAUGGAAUGUAACAUGGAAUAGUCAUCAAAUGGAAUGUGACGUUUAUGGUGUAUGUGGAACUUUUGCUAGCUGUAAUUCACAAAGCUCACCAAUAUGUAGCUGUUUGCAAGGGUUUGAGCCAAGGAACAAAGAGGAAUGGAAUAGACAAAAUUGGAUUGGAGGGUGUGUUAGGAGGAAACCUUUGCAAAAGUGUAAAAAAGAGAGCAUUCAUAACAAAAGUACAGAGAGUAAAGCUGAUGAUUUUUUGAAACUACAGAUGGUCAAAGUUCCUGAUUUUGCAGAUGGGUCUUCUCUCCCACUUUCACCAGACACAUGCAGAAGCCAAUGUUUGGGGAAUUGCUCUUGUGUUGCAUAUUCAUAUGAUGCUGACAUUGGUUGUAUGUCUUGGACUGGGAAUCUAGUUGACAUACAACAAGUCUCAAAUGGAGGACUUGACUUGUAUGUCCGUGUAGCCUACACAGAAAUUGGUAAACAUUUUAUGCUGGUUACUAUUUGUGCAACAAAUUGAAUACAUACACUUCUGAGUUUACCCUUUUCUCGCGGUUCAUUGGGUGCAGAUAAAGAGGGAAACAAGCCGGUCAUCAUUAUUAUAAUAGUGAUAACAGGAACUGUCUUAGUUCUUGCUUGUGCAUAUAUCAUGUGGAGAAGAAUAUCUAACCACCACGGUAAUAUAUCAUAUACUCUGAAGAGUUUUCUACAUAUUAGUACUGUCGAUACAAAUCAUACAAAGACAUGUUCAGAAUUUUCUAUAAAAUUAAAUUAUUUCUGCUAACUAGUUUCUGUUUUCUUUAACUGAACAAUUUCAAAUCAGUCCAUUUUUUAUUGUUUGACGCUUCUUCCUCCUGCUAAUUUGUGGCUUUCAAAUAAUUCAGGAAGAAACCAAUUUGACAACACAAUUGGAGAACUGUCACAAGUUAAACUCCAAGAGCUAUUACUAUUUAAUUUUGGAAAGCUUGCAACUGCGACCAACAACUCCAAUUCAUCCAACAAACUUGGGCAGGGUGGUUUCGGACCAGUAUACAAGGUAUAUUAAUUAAAUGAAGUUGUAGAAAAUAAUACUGAUAUAUUUCAAAGUUGUAAAAAGAGUACAUGCACAAAUUUGUUUAAUUUCUCUUCUAGGGAGCACUGCCUAGUGGUCAGGAAAUUGCGGUUAAAAGACUCAUCUGGACAAAGUCUAAAAGAAUUCAUGAAUGAAGUAGUGGUGAUUUCUAAGCUUCAACACCGCAAUCUUGUAAGACUUCUCGGUUGUUGUGUUGAAGGAGAGGAAAAGAUGUUGAUAUAUGAGUACAUGCCAAAUAAAAGUUUGGAUGCAUUUCUCUUUGGUUAGUCUUUGACACUGUACCAUUUGUUUCAUACCCAAUUCAAACUUUGAGGUUAAACGCUAUUCAUCAUAUAUGGAAAUGUUUUGUAACGAUGAACAAUUGUUUCACAGCCAAUGACACAACUUAUCUUGUAUUAGUACUAGAUUCAAAAUAACAAAAGUUCAAUUUUUCAUUUAUUAGAUUCAUCGGAAAGUAAAAUCCUUGAUUGGAGUAAACGCUUUAGCAUAAUAGAAGGAAUAGCUCGGGGAUUGCUUUAUCUUCACAGAGAUUUCAGGCAAAAAAUUAUACAUAGAAAUUUGAAGCCAAGUAAUAUCUUGCUAGAUAAUGAGCUUAAUCCAAAAAUAUCAGACUUUGGUAUGGCCAGAAUCUUUGGAGGUAGUGAAGAUCAAGAAAAUACUAGAAGAGUCGUCGGAACUUAGUAAGUACACCACUAUACCUUCUUAGUUCAAGGUUAAAGUAGUGUACUUUGAUAUUAAAUUAAAUUGUCUUGCAUUUCAAUGUAGUGGCUAUAUGUCUACAGAAUACGCAAUGCAAGGACUGUUUUCUGACAAAUCUGAUGUUUUUAGCUUCAGAGUUUUGCUUCUUGAGAUUGUUAGUGGAAGACGAAAUUCAAGCUUCUAUGACUGCGAGGAUUCUUUGACCCUUUUAGGAUUUGUAAGUAUCUUAAAUUAUCUUAUCUAACUAACCCAAUCUUGGAUGUUCUUCAGCUUUCUCAAAUGUUUGAUAUUUGGCUUGUCAAUUUAGGCUUGGAUACAAUGGACAAAAGACAAUAUUUCAUCUCUUAUAGAUCCAAGAAUAUAUGAUCCUAUUCAUCAUGAAUGUAUCAUUAGGUCCAUACACAUAGGGCUUCUGUGUGUACAAGAAUUUUCCAUAGACAGACACACUAUGUCUGCUGUAAUUUCUAUGCUUAAUAGUGAGAUUGUAGACCUUCCUCCACCAAAGAAACCUGCAUUCAUCCUGAGGCAGAAUAUGAUGAGCACAGUGUCGUCUGAAGAAAGCAAUGAUGGCUUGUACUCUAUCAACUUAGCCAAUAUUUCAGAUAUCCAUGGCAGAUAGCUAACUAAGAACACUAUAUCGUCUCUUGGAGAGAAUAAGAAUUAUGUUAGUCUAGGAAAGGUUGCUGGAACUUGGAAAAUUAUAGGUAUACCCGUUUCUUUGUCAAAAAGUAUAUAAUAAGAUUUCAAGUAUUGAAAGUUUUGCUAUUGAGAUGAUUUAUGAGCUCAGAAAACUUUAAAGUUGUUUUAUAUCUUGUAUUUGCCUAUCAUCUAUGAAAUAUUAAAAUUACCUUGUUAAUUCUUUACCACAUAGCAUACCGUUUUGUAAUUGGUUUUAUAAAGAGUUGGUCGUUUAAAACUUUUCUAUAGCAGUUUACAACUAAAUCAUUAAUUCAUUGAAAGUCCACUAUAAAACCACAUGCAUCUUAAGAGUAAGGGACAUUACAAUUAAACUAUACUGAAGCAUAAAUUAUGACCAUGACGCCAGAACUUCUCUCUAUUGAAUUCCUAAAUUGUGUUAUUGUUCUUUCCCUUAAAAAAUUUAUUAUUCUAUUUAGCAAAUUUAUACAGUAAUGAAUUUUGCACAUCAAAAUAAGUGGAUGUAUUUAAUGUGUACCAUAGAUAUUUUUGGAAAUUAAAAUAUUUUAAUGUUGAUUCAUUUUUAAAAAAAUUCUUUAAUUUUUAUAAUUUGGUCUUCUUUUUCUUGUUAAACUUUUUGGAGAUAUUAAAUUUGUCUUUAACAACAUUGUAUUUUGUCAAUUUCAAUUUGAAUUUUAAAACAUAAAAUAUGGGAUAUAGAAACUAAAAACUAAAUAAGAUGAGGUUAUAUAUGCUACACCUCUUUGUCAUUUUUAUUUCUUCCGAUUUUCCACGUGUUUCCUCAAGAGAUAAUUUUGUUUGAGUAUUGUCGAACUCUAAGGAUACGUCUAGAUGGAGGGUUUUGGAAAGAAAGGGGUGAGAGGACUUCUUUUUUAAAAAAAAAAUUAAGGAAGCUAUAUAAUAUGUCUAAAGAUAAAUUAAGUGUAAUUAAGAUGUUAUAUGACAAUUUAAGAGGACUUAUUUUCUUUUUUCAAAUUAAAGAAGCUAUAUAAUGUUUCUAAAGAUAAAUUAAGUGUAAUUAAGAUGCUAUAUGACCAUUUAUCAUGUAAUUCUUUUGAUUAUUGUAAGAUUUCAAAUAUAUACCAAGGUAUGGACAUAACCCCAAAGGCCUACUCCCAAACAUAUCCUAAAUGUGGACACAUCUUCUAUCCAGGAUUUGAACUACAUGAACAAAACACAGCAAAUAGAGAUAAUAAUUUGUAUUAUGUCAAUUUCUUCAUUAGUUCACUAAUUGUCCUUAACAAAUUGAUUUUUCUAUAAACUAAUUGCAUAUAUACUCUAAUUAAUUUUGACUAAGAUGAAACUAAGAACUAAGAAUUAAUUCAAAGCUUCGAUUGCCAAUCACUUGUACUACUAUAAUGUGUAGGUCUCAAUCAGAAUACAUAUUUCUUAGGAAUAUCGUUGAAGAAGUCUCUAAUAAGAUUGAUCGCACUCCUUUACAUGUUGCUGAUAACCCAGUUGCACUAGAAUCCGCAGUGCUAGAAGUGGCAUCUCUACUAGGAGGAUGUGACUGGUUUGGCUCUGGCAGCAAAGUUAUAAUCACUACAAGAGAUAAUCAUUUGUUAUCCACUCACAGGAUUGUGAAGUCAUUUGAGGUAAAACAGCUAAAACAUGAAAAGGCUCUCGAAUUGUUUAGUUGCCAUGCCUUCAAAAACAAAAAAAUGGAUCAAGAUUAUGUUAAUGUUGUCAACCAUGCAGUAUUAUUGUCAUGGUCUUCCAUUGGCUUUGGAGGUGAUAGGUUCUCACUUGUUUGGCAAAAGUUUGGAUGUAUGGAAAUCAGCAUUAGAUAAAUAUGAAAAAAGUUAUACACAACAUACUUAAAGUUAACUAUGAUGAUUUGGAAGUAGAUGAGAAGGGCAUUUUUCUUGACAUCGCUUGUUUCUUCAAUUCUUACGAAAAGAGCUAUGUUAAAGAAAUACUAACAUGGUUUUCAUGCGGAAGAUGGCCUUCAAGUGCUGACUAACAAAUCUCUCAUAAAUCUCUCAUAAAAAUUGAUGGCAAUGGUUGUGUUAGAAUGCAUGACUUAAUUCAAGACAUGGAAGAGAAAUCNNNNNNNNNNNNNNNNNNNNNNNNNNNNNNNNNNNNNNNNNNNNNNNNNNNNNNNNNNNNNNNNNNNNNNNNNNNNNNNNNNNNNNNNNNNNNNNNNNNNNNNNNNNNNNNNNNNNNNNNNNNNNNNNNNNNNNNNNNNNNNNNNNNNNNNNNNNNNNNNNNNNNNNNNNNNNNNNNNNNNNNNNNNNNNNNNNNNNNNNNNNNNNNNNNNNNNNNNNNNNNNNNNNNNNNNNNNNNNNNNNNNNNNNNNNNNNNNNNNNNNNNNNNNNNNNNNNNNNNNNNNNNNNNNNNNNNNNNNNNNNNNNNNNNNNNNNNNNNNNNNNNNNNNNNNNNNNNNNNNNNNNNNNNNNNNNNNNNNNNNNNNNNNNNNNNNNNNNNNNNNNNNNNNNNNNNNNNNNNNNNNNNNNNNNNNNNNNNNNNNNNNNNNNNNNNNNNNNNNNNNNNNNNNNNNNNNNNNNNNNNNNNNNNNNNNNNNNNNNNNNNNNNNNNNNNNNNNNNNNNNNNNNNNNNNNNNNNNNNNNNNNNNNNNNNNNNNNNAGAAUUACCUAGUUUAUCUAGAGUACCAAAUUUGGGGGCACUAUGUCUUGACAACUGUACUAAUUUAAUUAGAAUCCAUGACUCAGUUGGAUUUCUUGAUAAACUUGUUUUAUUAAAUGCUCAAGGAUGCACUCAACUAGAAAUUUGGGUACACAACAUCAACUUGUCCUCUCUAGAGACUUUGGAUAUGAGGGGUUGCUUGCGUCUUGAGAGCUUACCUGAAGUAUUGGGAAGAAUGGAGAAGUUAAGAGAUGUUUAUUUAGAUCAGACUGCACUAGAUAAGUUACCUUUUUCAAUAGGUAAUCUUGUUGGGCUCCAACAACUAUUCAUGAGGGAAUGCCAAUGGAUGAUUCAGUUACCAAGUAGUAUCCAUUUAUUGCCCAAACUUGAGAUAAUAACUGCUUAAGGUUGUCGAGGUUUCGAUUAUUUGACAAUAAUAAUCAUAAAGAAAAAGUUGGUUCACAAUCACUAGUGAUUCCAGCAGUCAUGCGUAUUUAUGAUGAAGGCAUGGAGAGCUUACUUGAUGUGUGUUUUCUUAACAUGUGUCCUAAUAACGUCAUAGAAGUAUGCAGUCCUUCGUUUGCUAAUGGAAAUAUUAGAUUAGUGUUUUUGGAAGGGACUAAACAAGGGGAUGUAAAUUGGUACCAGCUGGAAAUCAAGGAAUCAUCUAUGUAUUUUUGGUUCGGAAAGAAAUUCCCACGGAUAUCUCUAUGUUGGGCAGGACAACCUCAAAUUAAUAAAGACAAUAUGAUGUUGGAUUUCAAGUUCAGCGUACUCAUCAAUGGCACUAAGCAACUCACUUCUUCAUGUAACUACAUAUUUUCUGCAAAAAAGAUGAUGCAGCAAGUACUUUUCUGUGAUUUAGAAUGCAAAGUGGGAAAGCCAUUUUCAGAGCAUGAAUGGUAUACGGCAGAGAUUUUAUGUGAGUUGAAAUACCACAUGCCAUGUGGCUUGGAAAGGGUACUGGAUAUCAACGACAGGAGGACCAUAAUACGAAGUUGGUCCUUCAUUCGUUUCGGUGUAGAAAACAAGGAGGAUGUCAUAUUUCCGCCUAGGUUUCAGAGUUGAUGAGUUACAGAGAAGAAAAGAAACAUUGAACGUAGUCAAUGGUUCCAACAAACACUGAUGUGUUGGGAGUCUCAAUCACAAUGUUAGAUAAAAUUGAAGUUAGUUGUAGGUAGUUAUAAGUCGAUUACUAUUGACUACUAGUUAAGAUUUAUUAGUUUGGUUAUAUAUAAAGUGUAUCACAUAUUCAUUGUAGUCAACUUUUCUCAUUGAAUCAAUUCCAAAUAGAACGCUCAUGACUUAGCUGUUUUUGUGUUUUCAAAUACAACAUUCUCUCAAAAAACCCUGUAAUAAAUAGUUGAUCUUGAAAAAUCUGACCUACCCAAAUGAUUUUCUGUUUUUGUGUUUUCAAAUUUAAUCAACUGGUUUUUUGUCUCUUUCUUAUGCGUCUUUUCAACUUUGUCUUAAUUAAUCAACAAAGCCGCACAAGUCAUUCUAAAAAAUGACUUGUGAUUUUAAGUUGUUCAUUGUACCAAAGGAUAUCUUGUAGCUAGCAAUAUUGUGAAGACAACUUUUUUUGUUAUGUUCUUCGUAAAUGACCAUAUUCUUUUAGAUUCACUUUAUUUAUUUUAAUUUGAUCUCAAUUUGUAUUACUUUGAGAUAAUAAAAAUAUGUAAUUUGAUAGAGACCAGUCUCCAAAAUCAAUAGAAAUUGUAAUAUUGCAUGAUAAUAAGAAAUAUUAUAGAGAAUGAUCCUUAUAAUCCCAGAGCAAUGCUCCUCAGCGAAGAUAAUUUCUUUGUAUUCCCAAAUCUAGAAGGUCCUAACUAAAUAUGAUUCUGAAAAUGAUUUCCUCCUUGCUAACCGUCUCCUUAAUAUAACUACAUUCUCCUGCUAACAAAUUUGCUACAUAAGCAUAUCGUAAACAAUUCUCUAUUUGGCCCAUUUAUUGUUCUAGGCCCAAAUCAAGUACCUAAUAUAAUUCAUCAAUAAUUUCCUUUAAUUAAUCUAAUAUAAUCAUCUUGAAGUACACAUGUGUGUAUUAGGGGCGCUAAGGAAUUAAAUUUCUGUCUUUUUUGACAAAUAAACAAAUAAUUCUUUACUAUAAAUUAUUUUCUCCAUCAUACAGCAAUUUUAAUGGUAACAGAACUAGGAUAUAAUAAAAGUCGUUUGUCUCUCAAAAGAAUAAAAACCUUUAUUAUUACUAUAUAUUGAUCAACAUACUAAAAAAACUGUUCCUAUAUGCCACAUACCUUUAUGCAAAAUACUAAAAAAAUUAAACUACAGUGAAGCAUAAAUGCUGAUUUAACUUACCUGCACCUCUUAUUGUAACUUGGUACAAGAUCUUGGAGAAUCUUCAUCCUCUCACUGAUUUUCUCCUCCUGUACCCAUAUUAAGGCAAGUUUAUACAAUGUCAAUUACAUAUUUAUUUGCCAUUGUCAAUGUCAUUCAUAAAAAACAAAGGCAAUAAUCCUUGCACAUUUUGCAAGAAUUUGGCUAUUAGUAACAUGAUCUAUUCUCAUUCUUACAUGCAUGUAAUUUUGGAGGUUCUGAUUUCAGAGGAAGUAUCUUUCUCUUCCCCUGCAGUAGUAGCACUAGCACCUUCUUUGGGUUGGACUCGUCCUUAUUGGGCCAUUUUCAUUUCCAUCAUCCUCGUCUGGGCUGUUGUGCUUAGAUUUGAAUCUUUACAACCAACUUCAACAUCUUGAAAUGAUGAACAUUGUGUGAUUUGAAGUUUCUUUGCAGGACCAAAAUGAAAACGAUAAAUAAUUUUACUUAAAAAAUUAUUCGCCUUAGAUACUGCAGAUUCCUCUUGAGGAUUGGAUAUUUUUGCAUUCUGUCAAGGAAAAAAAAAAGGUAAUGAUAUUUCAUAAUAAUGCAGUCAAGAUGAAAUAAUUGCUCUUUACUCUUCAAAUUUCUAAUACUAUCUACUCAAAUUUUAAAUCUGAGACACCACCCUGUGUUAAUUCUAUCUUACAUCUUCUAGAAAAAAGAUUUUGUUUCAUUAGACAGGUAUGAGCAUAAAAAGAAUACUGUAGAAACAACUCUACUACCAAACCAAAGAAAUCAUCAUAUCCAAAUUGAAACUACCAAAAGUGAAUUCAUAGUGCAAGGAGAUAUCUAUGUUUAAAGCUUUCAUAAGAAUAUCAAAGAGCAAAAAUGAACAAAUUUAUCUUAAACAGGAAUCCGUCUAUAAGACAAUGAUUGUCUACGUGGCACCUAGCUAGAAUAAAAUAAUCAUAAUGCAAGCAAUGCUACAAAUCUACCUUUCUUUCUCAUUUAACAAUAGGCACUUAGAAUUGCAAUACUAUAUAAUCAAACUUAAAAUCUGAGACUAAAUGUAUUAAAAUUUGAAAGCAAAAUAAAGAAUGAUGAUAAUUGAUUACUAUAACAAUAAUUGAAUCAAGAUUAUUAAACGGAAUUCUGUUUCUUUGAACAGAUAUGAGCAUCGCUAAAUUAGCGGAGAAACAAUUCUAUCGUCAAAUCACGAAAUCAUCACAGAAUGAUGGUAAAAUACAAAAUAUCGUGUCGUGAUCAAAGCCAAUUGGAACCAAAAUUAAAUUCAAAGAAACCAUUGGAAGGAACCAGAAAGAGAUUAGCGAGAAAUGGAUGAGGUCAAUGUAGGUGGUGUUUUGUGUAGGUUAGUGUGUUAUAGCGGAGAAUGAAUGAGGGUUUGAAAAGAAAGAAGAUGAAGGGAAAAACGGUGUCAUAGAAUGCGAGGGGUGAGUAGGCUGUUUUCAUAGAGGAGUGACUCUCACACUGUGGGGAGCUUUACAACAACAAUGGAGAUGACCAGAAAUAGGAGAUAUCAUUUAGUCACAAACUUAAAC